rnacentral:rRNA from 1 species
CCUACGGGCGGCAGCAGUGAGGAAUAUUGGUCAAUGGGCGCGAGUCUGAACCAGCCAAGUAGCGUGAAGGAUGACUGCCCUAUGGGUUGUAAACUUCUUUUAUAAAGGAAUAAAACGAGGCACGUGUGCCUUUUUGUAUGUACUUUAUGAAUAAGGAUCGUCUAACUCCGUGCCAGCAGCCGCGGUAAUACGGAGGAUCCGAGCGUUAUCCGGAUUUAUUGGGUUUAAAGGGAGCGUAGAUGGGUUGUUAAGUCAGUUGUGAAAGUUUGCGGCUCAACCGUAAAAUUGCAAUUGAUACUGGCAGUCUUGAGUACAGUUGAGGUAGGCGGAAUUCGUGGUGUAGCGGUGAAAUGCUUAGAUAUCACGAAGAACCCCGAUUGCGAAGGCAGCUUACUAAACUGCGACUGACAUUGAUGCUCGAAAGUGUGGGUAUCAAACAGGAUUAGAUACCCCUGUAGUC